CUGCAGCCAAUUAAGCUGACUGGUUUCCUUUCCUCGUGGGGUCCUGGUGAACAGCAGCUGCAAGCAGCAGCCUCCUUGGUUGUGUAUGUAACCUGCUGCUUGCUCAGGUUGUCCUAAGGGACCCUGGAGACAGUU